GAUGAACGCUGGCGGCGUGCCUAAUACAUGCAAGUCGAGCGAACGGACGAGAAGCUUGCUUCUCUGAUGUUAGCGGCGGACGGGUGAGUAACACGUGGAUAACCUACCUAUAAGACUGGGAUAACUUCGGGAAACCGUAGCUAAUACCGGAUAAUAUUUUGAACCGCAUGGUUCAAAAGUGAAAGACGGUCUUGCUGUCACUUAUAGAUGGAUCCGCGCUGCAUUAGCUAGUUGGUAAGGUAACGGCUUACCAAGGCAACGAUGCAUAGCCGACCUGAGAGGGUGAUCGGCCACACUGGAACUGAGACACGGUCCAGACUCCUACGAGAGGCAGCAGUAGGGAAUCUUCCGCAAUGGGCGAAAGCCUGACGGAGCAACGCCGCGUGAGUGAUGAAGGUCUUCGGAUCGUAAAGCUCUGUUAUUAGGGAAGAACAUAUGUGUAAGUAACUGUGCACAUCUUGACGGUACCUAAUCAGAAAGCCACGGCUAACUACGUG
rnacentral:rRNA from 1 species